rnacentral:rRNA from 1 species
UACGUAGGGUGCAGGCGUUAAUCGGAAUUACUGGGCGUAAAGCGUGCGCAGGCGGUCUCUUAAGACAGGUGUGAAAUCCCCGGGCUUAACCUGGGAACUGCGCUUGUAACUGAGAGGCUAGAGUGUGGCAGAGGGGGGUGGAAUUCCACGUGUAGCAGUGAAAUGCGUAGAUAUCUGGAGGAACACCGGUGGCGAAGGCGGCAUCCUGGACCGGUAUUGACGCUGAGGCGCGAAAGCCAGGGGAGCAAACGGG